rnacentral:snRNA from 1 species
GUCCCCCCUUCGGGGGUGGACUCAUACUAAAAUUGGACAGAUACAGAGAAGAUUAGCAUGGCCCCUGCGCAA